rnacentral:sRNA from 1 species
AACUUCACUGUUUCCCAUGUCGUCUUCGCUGGGGAGACCAACGGC